rnacentral:misc_RNA from 1 species
GAAAUGCGAUAAUUAAUGUGAAUUGCAGAAUUCAGUGAAUCAUCGAGUCUUUGAACGCACAUUGCGCCCCCUGGUAUUCCGGGGGGCAUGCCUGUCCGAGCGUCAUUGCUGCCCUCAAGCACGGCUUGUGUGUUGGGCUUCCGUCCUGGCAACGGGGACGGGCCCAAAAGGCAGUGGCGGCACCAUGUCUGGUCCUCGAGCGUAUGGGGCUUUGUCACCCGCUCCCGUAGGUCCAGCUGGCAGCUAGCCUCGCAACCAAUCUUUUUAACCAGGUUGACCUCGGAUCAGGUAGGGAUACCCGCUGAACUUAAGC